CAAAAUGAAGACGAGUCAAGCUUUAGCAACAUUUCUCGUUGUGAUCGCUUUUUUUAUUCUUACAUCAGGUAUAUUCUUGCUAAGCUAAUUUUCUUCUUUUUAUACCAACAUGUUAAUAAUUUCCACGUAGCAAUUUAAAAAUGAUGAUACAUGAGUAAAAAACAACCUCCUCCGUUUCGUUUGUCAUCCAAAAGUUAAAGUUGGCAAGUUUUUGGAUAUUCUUUUUUGCCCAUCUAAAAUUAAAAAAUUUAUCCGCGGUAGAGAGAUUAUUAUGUAGCUAUAUGUAGGGAAAACACAUAAGUUUCCCCGUAAACUUGUUCGAAAAAAUUAUUUACAUAUUUAAACUUUAAUAACAAGUUAUUUUUAUAUGUGCAGAAAAUGAAAUGCGUUCAGUUGAAGGUAUUGAAACAGGGAUUUGUGAAAGAUUUGUCCUAGGGGUUAUUUGUCCUCCAGAAAAUGAUUCAAGAAUAUGCCUAACAGAGUGCACUAACAUAUCCAGAGGUCAUAAACCCAUUAAUCAUUCUUGCUUAGAAGGCAAAGAUUCAUCUUUCUGCUUUUGUCAGUGGCUAUCAGAUUUAUGUUAAUGGAGAUCUUCUAAUCCAUCAAACGUUUAUUAUUCUCGAUCAACACUUAAGUACACCAA
rnacentral:lncRNA from 1 species